rnacentral:sRNA from 1 species
UGGACAUACUGACCAUUGAACCCAGGGCCUUGGGUAUGUCAGGAAAGUGCUUUACAACUUAAGUAUUUCCCUAGCCCCCCAAAUUUCUUUUUUUGUUGUUGAUUUUUGGUAUGUGUGUGUGUGUGUGUGUGUGUGUGUGUGUGUCCAU